UACGAAGGGGGCUAGCGUUGUUCGGAAUUACUGGGCGUAAAGCGCGCGCAGGCGGUCUUCCAAGUCAGUGGUGAAAGCCCAGGGCUCAACCCUGGAAUUGCCUUUGAUACUGGCUAUCUUGAGUGUGGGAGAGGUUAGCGGAACUCCGAGUGUAGAGGUGAAAUUCGUAGAUAUUCGGAAGAACACCAGUGGCGAAGGCGGCUAACUGGCCCAUUACUGACGCUGAGGCUCGAAAGCGUGGGGAGCAA
rnacentral:rRNA from 1 species